AGUAUAUGUAUCAGGGGUAGUCGAUAUUCGAUUUUUACUCUAGUUAUAUAUACUAGAGUAAAGAAAAAGUUCAUGAUGAACUUUGGGCAUGAGAUUUGGGUAUUGGUUCAUGAGAUUUGGGUAUUGGUUCAUGAGAUUUGGGUAUAUGAGGUUAAGAUAUAGUUCAUGUGGUUCAUGAGAUUUGGAUAUAGUUUGGUGCAUGGCUCAUAGGAUUUGGUAUAUGGUUCAUGAGGUUUGGUGUAUGGGAUUUGGUUCAUGAACUUGGAUAUGGUUCAUGGAUGAGAUUUAUGAACUUGAUGUAUGGUUCAUGGGUUCAUAAGGUAUGGUUCAUGAACUUGGUUUAUGAUUCAUGAACUUGGUGUAUGGGUCAUGAGGUUGGGUAUAUGAUCUCGGUUUAUGGAUUAUGGUGUAUGGUUUAUGGUUCAUAGUGUAUGGUUCAUGAACUUGGAUAUGGUUAAUGGAUGAGGUUUAUGAACUUGGCUCAUGGUUCAUGGUUCAUGAACCUAGUGUAUGGUUCAUGGGUUCAUAAGGUAUGGUUCAUGAACUUGGUUUAUGAUUCAUGAACUUGGUGUAUGGGUCAUGAGGUUGGGUAUAUGAU
rnacentral:lncRNA from 1 species